rnacentral:rRNA from 1 species
AUCUAUGGCCAUACCACCCUGAAUGCACCUGACCUUGUCUGAUCUCGGAAGCUAAGCAGGGACAGGCCUGGUUAGUAAUUGGAUGGGAGUCCAUCUGUUAUUUAUUUAUUUUUCUUC